GUAAUACUCCCUCCGUUCCGAAUUACUUGUCGCAGGUAUGGAUGUAUCUAGAUGUAUAUUAGUUCUAAAUACAUCCAUUUCUGCGACGAAUAAUUUGGAACGGAGGGAGUAACUA
rnacentral:pre_miRNA from 1 species